rnacentral:rRNA from 1 species
AAUCAACGCUGGCGGCGUGCCUCAGACAUGCAAGUCGAACGAUUAAAGCUCUCUUCGGAGAGUGUAUAGAGUGGCGCACGGGUGAGUAACACGUAAGUAAUCUACCUUCGAGUGGGGAAUAACACCGAGAAAUCGGUGCUAAUACCGCAUAAUGCAGCGGCAUCGCAAGAUGACAGUUGUUAAAGAUUUAUCGCUUGAAGAGGAGCUUGCGGCAGAUUAGCUAGUUGGUAAGGUAAUGGCUUACCAAGGCUACGAUCUGUAACCGGUCUAAGAGGACGGUCGGUCACACUGACACUGAAUAACGGGUCAGACUCCUACGGGAGGCAGCAGUCGGGAAUUUUGGGCAAUGGGCG